UUGAUGGAUUUUAAAGGUAAUCGCGG
rnacentral:sRNA from 1 species